UACGUAGGGUGCAAGCGUUGUCCGGAAUUAUUGGGCGUAAAGAGCUCGUAGGCGGUCUGUCGCGUCUGCUGUGAAAAUCCAGGGCUCAACCCUGGACCUGCAGUGGGUACGGGCAGACUAGAGUGCGGUAGGGGAGAUCGGAAUUCCUGGUGUAGCGGUGAAAUGCGCAGAUAUCAGGAGGAACACCGGUGGCGAAGGCGGAUCUCUGGGCCGUAACUGACGCUGAGGAGCGAAAACAUGGGGAGCGAACAGG
rnacentral:rRNA from 1 species